AUUGAACGCUGGCGGCAGGCCUAACACAUGCAAGUCGAACGAGUGGCGGACGGGUGAGUAAUGUCUGUGAAACUGCCUGUUGGAGGGGGAUAACUACUGGAAACGGUAGCUAAUCCCGCAUACCAUCGGAUGUGCCCAGAUGGGAUUAGCUAGUAGGUGGGGUAACGGCUCACCUAGGCGACGAUCCCUAGCUGGUCUGCGAGGAUGACCCGCCACACUGGAACUGAGACAGGGUCCAGACUCCGACGGGAGGCAGCAGUGGGGAAUAUUGCACAAUGGGCGCAAGCCUGAUACAGCCAUGCCGCGUGUAUGAAGAAGGCCUUCGGGUUGUAAAGUACUUUCAGCGGGGAGGCGUUAACCGCAGAAGAAGCACCGGCUAACUCCGUGCCAGCAGCCGCGGUAAUAC
rnacentral:rRNA from 1 species